rnacentral:rRNA from 1 species
UACGGGGGGGGUAAGCGUUGUUCGGAAUUACUGGGCGUAAAGGGCUCGUAGGCGGCCAACUAAGUCAGACGUGAAAUCCCUCAGCUUAACUGGGGAACUGCGUCUGAUACUGGAUGGCUUGGAUUCGGGAGAGGAAUGCGGAAUUCCAGGUGUAGCGGUGAAAUGCGUAGAUAUCUGGAGGAACACCGGUGGCGAAGGCGGCAUUCUGGAUCGAUAUUGACGCUGAGGAGCGAAAGCGUGGGGAGCAAACAGG